GAAUAUUGGACAAUGGGCGAAAGCCUGAUCCAGCCAUGCCGCGUGUGUGAAGAAGGUCUUCGGAUUGUAAAGCACUUUAAGUUGGGGGGAAGGGUUGUAGAUUAACACUCUGCAAUUUAGACGUUACCGACAGAAGAAGCAACGGCACACUUCGGGCCAGCAGCCGCGGUAAUACGAAGGGUGCAAGCGUUAAUCGGAAUUACUGGGCGUAAAGCGCGCGUAGGUGGUUCAGUAAGUUGGAUGUGAAAUCCCCGGGCUCAACCUGGGAACUGCAUCCAAAACUGCUGAGCUAGAGUACGGUAGAGGGUGGUGGAAUUUCCUGUGUAGCGGUGAAAUGCGUAGAUAUAGGAAGGAACACCAGUGGCGAAGGCGACCACCUGGACUGAUACUGACACUGAGGUGCGAAAGCGUGGGGAGCAAACAGG
rnacentral:rRNA from 1 species